rnacentral:rRNA from 1 species
ACAAACCCCCCCACCCUUGUGUAUUAUUACUUUGUUGCUUUGGCGAGCUGCCUUCGGGCCUUGUAUGCUCGCCAGAGAAUACCAAAACUCUUUUUAUUAAUGUCGUCUGAGUACUAUAUAAUAGUUAAAACUUUCAACAACGGAUCUCUUGGUUCUGGCAUCGAUGAAGAACGCAGCGAAAUGCGAUAAGUAAUGUGAAUUGCAGAAUUCAGUGAAUCAUCGAAUCUUUGAACGCACAUUGCGCCCCUUGGUAUUCCGGGGGGCAUGCCUGUUCGAGCGUCAUUUCAACCCUCAAGCUUAGCUUGGUAUUGAGUCUAUGUCAGUAAUGGCAGGCUCUAAAAUCAGUGGCGGCGCCGCUGGGUCCUGAACGUAGUAAUAUCUCUCGUUACAGGUUCUCGGUGUGCUUCUGCCAAAACCCAAAUUUUUCUAUGGUUGACCUCGGAUCAGGUAGGGAUACCCGCUGAACUUAAGCAUAUCAUAAGCGGAGGAAGAAU